CCUACGGGAGGCAGCAGUGGGGAAUAUUGCACAAUGGGGGAAACCCUGAUGCAGCAACGCCGCGUGAGUGAAGAAGUAUUUCGGUAUGUAAAGCUCUAUCAGCAGGGAAGAAAAUGACGGUACCUAACUCAGAAGCCCCGGCUAACUACGUGCCAGCAGCCGCGGUAAUACGUAGGGGGCGAGCGUUAUCCGGAUUUACUGGGUGUAAAGGGAGCGUAGACGGGUCUGCAAGUCUGAAGUGAAAGCCCGGGGCUUAACCCCGGGACGGCUUUGGAAACUGUGGAACUGGAGUGCUGGAGAGGCAAGCGGAAUUCCUAGUGUAGCGGUGAAAUGCGUAGAUAUUAGGAGGAACACCAGUGGCGAAGGCGGCUUGCUGGACAGUAACUGACGUUGAGGCUCGAAAGCGUGGGGAGCAAACAGGAUUAGAUACCCUUGUAGUC
rnacentral:rRNA from 1 species